rnacentral:tRNA from 1 species
GGGAAUGUGGCUUAGUGGUAAAGCACUUGCCUGGCAUGCACAAGGCCCUGGGUUCCAUCCCCAGCACUCA